GUAAGUUGCAAGCCAGCCUGAUCUACAGAGGAAAACUCCAUCUCAAACCAGCACAGUAAAGGUUCUAUUUGCUGUGACAAUCAUUGCAUUCUCCUCCACUUUCUGAGAAGACUCCAACUUUGAAACAAGACUACCAGUACCCUUCUGGAUAUUGUAUCAUUGUAAAAAACAAUGGAAAUCCGAGAUGCUCCCAGCAAAAAAGAGAGAGCAAAGAAAAAGUGGUCCUGAAUGAUAAUCAAUGUGUCAGGCAUUCAUGAGCUCUGCCCUUACCUUGUGUGGGCCUAAUUAAAAAAAUAUUCACUGGAA